rnacentral:rRNA from 1 species
UACGUAGGGGGCAAGCGUUGUCCGGAUUUAUUGGGCGUAAAGAGCGUGUAGGCGGCCAUGCAGGUCAGCUGUGAAAACUCGAGGCUCAACCUCGAGACGUCGGUUGAAACCGUAUGGCUAGAGUCCGGAAGAGGAGAGUGGAAUUCCCGGUGUAGCGGUGAAAUGCGUAGAUAUUGGAAAGACCACCGAUGGCGAAGGCACUCUACUGGGCCAUUACUGACACUGAGAGACGAAAGCUAGGGGAGCAAAUGGG